GUAGGGAAUAUUGGGCAAUGGAGGCAACUCUGACCCAGCCAUGCCGCGUGCAGGAAGACGGUCCUCUGGAUUGUAAACUGCUUUUGAAUGGGAAGAACACUACCCUUGCGAGGGUAUUUGACGGUACUAUUAGAAUAAGCACCGGCUAACUCCGUGCCAGCAGCCGCGGUAAUACGGAGGGUGCAAGCGUUAUCCGGAUUUAUUGGGUUUAAAGGGUGCGUAGGCGGCUUUAUAAGUCUGGGGUUAAAGGCGGCAGCUUAACUGUACGCAUGCCCUAGAUACUGUUGAGCUUGAGUGACCUGGAGGUAGCUGGAAUUCCCUGUGUAGCGGUGAAAUGCAUAGAUACGGGGAGGAAUACCGAUUGCGAAGGCAUGUUACUACGGGUAAACUGACGCUGAUGCACGAAAGCGUGGGGAUCAAACAGGAUUAGAAACCCGAGUAGUCC
rnacentral:rRNA from 1 species